ACCGAGUGAGGGCCCUCUGGGUCCAACCUCCCACCCGUGUUUAUUUUACCUUGUUGCUUCGGCGGGCCCGCCUUAACUGGCCGCCGGGGGGCUCACGCCCCCGGGCCCGCGCCCGCCGAAGACACCCUCGAACUCUGUCUGAAGAUUGAAGUCUGAGUGAAAAUAUAAAUUAUUUAAAACUUUCAACAACGGAUCUCUUGGUUCCGGCAUCUAUGAAGAACGCAGCGAAAUGCGAUACGUAAUGUGAAUUGCAAAUUCAGUGAAUCAUCGAGUCUUUGAACGCACAUUGCGCCCCCUGGUAUUCCGGGGGGCAUGCCUGUCCGAGCGUCAUUGCUGCCCUCAAGCCCGGCUUGUGUGUUGGGCCCCGUCCUCCGAUCUCCGGGGGACGGGCCCGAAAGGCAGCGGCGGCACCGCGUCCGGUCCUCGAGCGUAUGGGGCUUUGUCACCCGCUCUGUAGGCCCGGCCGGCGCUUGCCGAUCAACCCAAAUUUUUAUCCAGGUUGACCUCGGAUCAGGUAGGGAUACCCGCUGAACUUAA
rnacentral:rRNA from 1 species